UGGGGAAUAUUGCACAAUGGUGGGCACUCUGAUGCAGCGACGCCGCGUGAACGAAGAAGGCUUUCGAGUCGUAAAGUUCUUUUAUAUGGGAAGAUAAUGACGGUACCAUAAGAAAAAGCCCCGGCUAACUACGUGCCAGCAGCCGCGGUAAUACGUAGGGGGCUAGCGUUGUCCGGAAUCACUGGGCGUAAAGGGUUCGCAGGCGGAAAUGCAAGUCAGGUGUAAAAGGCAGUAGCUUAACUACUGUAAGCAUUUGAAACUGCAUAUCUUGAGAAGAGUAGAGGUAAGUGGAAUUUUUAGUGUAGCGGUGAAAUGCGUAGAUAUUAAAAAGAAUACCGGUGGCGAAGGCGACUUACUGGGCUCAUUCUGACGCUGAGGAACGAAAGCGUGGGUAGCAAACAGG
rnacentral:rRNA from 1 species